UCACGGUGGGGCCGCCAUGUUGCGGCGCCAUGGAGGAGAGGGUAGAGCGUGGUUCGUUCCGCUCUCCCCAAAUCCUCACCCCGCUCUCUCCCGACACACUCACACGCUACUCUGCAGUGCGCACAGACACUCGCUCGCCAGCCACACUCACACGCUACUCUGCAGUGCGCACAGACACUCGCCCCGCACACUCGCACGCCCCAACACUCCACUGUCUAAUACGCACAAACACCACGCACGCGACGGGGCUCUGUCUCGGCUGGAGGCCGCUGCGAUGAGCCCCGAGGUACGCGGGGAGCCCGACUGAGUUUUGAAAUUAUUAUUUUUCAAGAUUCUGGAGUCGUCGUCGGUUGCAAUCGCCUGAAGGUUGCAGGUUCCAAGAUCCUGGAGCUUCAAAGAUUUUAAUCACACGAAGUUUCACAUUCCAAGGUGAUAUCCACGUCUUGAAGAUGAAAGAAAAUGCAUCCAAGCCUUGUCAUUGGUGAACAUGGAGUCAACACAAUUCCUCUACUGAAGUCUUAACACGGGGUCAAUUACAGGCAUAAACAUACAUAUAGGGAAGUGAAAAGCAAAACUAGGAAACACGAGGCGUUUACAAAAGAUGGCAUUGGUGGUAGGAAUGUAUACAAUGAAACGGAUGCAUAACAAUGAGUUGAGAUAAAUUCAAGGCCCUUAAAUAUACAAGUUAUACAAAUAUACAAGUAUAUAAAAUGACCGGUCAUUCCACUUUGAAUAAACUGAUUCAAUGUUCGAGGUGAACAUUUUAACUUAGCUUAACCCUAACUUAAUACAGAUAUUAGAAUGGCCUUGACAAGAAUGAAAUAUUUAAACUAUUACAUCUCAUGGGUCUCAAAAGAGAACCAUUGUUAAAGGGGUAAACAAUGAAGUGAGAAACCUGGCGCCAUCCUAAAGACAGUAAGAGAAGAUGCACCUUUGUCAUGGUAAAACACAGAGAAGCUGCACCUUUGUCAUGGUGAUCGGCAGCGCUGCACCAUUGCGAUGUACAAUCGGUAUACACUGUUACGUUGUUUUCAAUAAAUGCUCCUUUUGCAA